AGACUGAACGCUGGCGGCAUGGCUAAAACAUGCAAGUCGAACGGACCCGCAAGGGUUAGUGGCGGAAGGGUGAGUAAUACUAUCGAAUGUACCCCGAGGUGGAGGAUAGGCAUGGGAAACUGUGCGUAAUACUUCAUGAUCUCGAAAGAGCAAAGGCGCAAGCCGCCUUGGGAGCAGCGAUAUUCCUAUCAGGUAGUUGGCUGGGUAAUGGCCCACCAAGCCGAAGACGGGUAGCCGGUAUGAGAGUACGGCCGGCCACAUCGGGACUGAGACACUGCCCGGACUCCUACGGGAGGCUGCAGUAACGAUAUUCCGCAAUGGGCGAAAGCCUGACGGAGCAAUGCCGCGUGUGGGAUGAAGCGGUUUCGCCGUGUAAACCACUGUCAGAAGAUAGAAAAGAUGAUCAUCUUCAGAGGAAGGGGCGACUAACUCUGCGCCAGCAGGCCGC
rnacentral:rRNA from 1 species